GACACCAACAUGGCGGGCGGGAAAUAGUGUAAACAUCUGAAACUUACUUUGGCUAUCUAGGCCACUACGCAUUCCUUUCAGCCGAUCGGAGGAGCAGUUAGUGUACACAAAAAAAGGCUUCAGAAAAGAGGAAAGAG